rnacentral:rRNA from 1 species
UUGACCUCAAAUCAGGCAGGAGUACCCGCUGAACUUAAGCAUAUCAAUAAGCGGAGGAAAAGAAACCAACAGGGAUUGCCUUAGUAACUGCGAGUGAAGCGGCAAGAGCUCAAAUUUGAAAUCUGGCACCUUCGGUGUCCGAGUUGUAAUUUGUAGAAGCAUCUUUUGGAUUGGUCCUUGCAUAUGUUCCUUGGAACAGGACAUCAUAGAGGGUGAGAAUCCCGUUCAUGGUGGGGAAUCCAAUUCUUUGUAAAGUGCUUUCGAAGAGUCGAGUUGUUUGGGAAUGCAGCUCUAAGUGGGUGGUAAAUUCCAUCUAAAGCUAAAUAUUGGCGAGAGACCGAUAGCGAACAAGUACAGUGAUGGAAAGAUGAAAAGAACUCCGAAAGGAGAGUGAAAAAGGACGUGAAAUUGUUGAAAGGGAAGUGCUUGAGAUCAGUCUUAAGGUUUAGUGAUCAGUCUUCCUUUUGGUUGGUGCACUCACUAUUUCUUAGGCCAACAUCAGUUUUCGCGGUAGGAUAAUGACAUUGGAAUGUGGCUCUUUCGGGAGUGUUAUAGCCUUUGUUGAUACUACCUGCUUAGACUGAGGACCGCGCUUUUGCUAGGAUGUUGGCAUAAUGAUCUUAAGCAGC